rnacentral:lncRNA from 9 species
GCCGCCUUCUAACAUGACCGGGCCCCAGAAGCACAGAACCCCAUGGCUUUUUGGCAAUUAAAUGGUUUUCACACUUCUAUUUUUAAAAGCCUUGGAAAUGAGUAACCUGGGGGAUCAGGGUGGUUGGGUGAAUGUCUUGCCAAAGUUCUCCCAGUCAGAGGCCCUGACUGGCAGGGGUCCCAAAACAACUGUGAAACCAAAAUGCCACGACAGGCCUGCUCCUCAGAUGAUAAAAACAGAGACAUGGGAGACACCCAGGCCCACACAGUCUGCCCUACGUGGCCACAAAGAGUGUGUUCUAGCCUCUGGUCUCCAGCUGGUCCAGACUGUUGUCCUGCUGCUUUGCAUGGGAGGAUGAGGCGUGAACUGCGCAUGCCAGGAGGAACACCUGAGCCCAAGUACACAGGAUUUGCAGUUAGAAGAGCCACGGGAGAGACAACGACUCCACCUGACCUGCCACGGACCGGACGUGCCCGAAGCGCGGGGGCGUGGCCACCAGUGCAGAAGCAGUAGGGGCUGGAGCUUGAGCGCUUGGAAGGAAACAGUGAGAGGGUGCUGCUGACUUUAAUCCCUCUCCUGGGGCUGUUCAUGCUUCCUCUCCCUCCUACGCCCCUCCCUCCCCUCCCUUGAUUUUUUGUUUUUUUUGUUUUUUUUUUUGUCUUUUUUGUCUUUUGUCUUUUGUUGUUGUUGUUGCUAUUUCUUGGGCCGCUCCCGCGGCAUAUGGAGGUUCCCAGGCUAGGGGUCUAAUCGGAGCUGUAGCCGCCGGCCUACGCCAGAGCCACAGCAACGCGGGAUCCGAGCCGCGUCUGCAACCUACACCACAGCUCACGGCAACGCCGGAUCGUUAACCCACUGAGCAAGGGCAGGGCCCAAACCCGCAACCUCAUGGUUCCUAGUCGGAUUCGUUAACCACUGCGCCACGACGGGAACUCCCCCUCCCCUCCCUUGAGACCCCAGGGAUGGGCAGAUCCGGCCCCCCAGGUAGUCCCCCUGGCUGGGCGGUAAGGGUCUGUCUUGGGGUCAGGGAAGUAGCUGGCACUGGCAGGUGGUGGCACCUUAUGCUGUGACAGGGGAGCCUGGAGGAGGAGGCCAGGGAGGCCCAUGUCCCAGACGCCCUGUCACUGGGUCACUUUGUUUCACUGCGUUCCUAAUGCGAAGCUCUAAAGCAGAGGGCGUGCGAUGGUUCCGUGGUGAGGAGAGAGAAGGUUCUGGAGUCCUGGACAUGGUGAGGAGGACAGACCUGAAUGGGACACUGAGGUGGGUGGUGUGGACAUGGAGGGCAGAUUAAGGCUCUGAGUCAAACAGGGGUGGUGGGGGAGGGGAAGAGGGUGAGAGAGAACCAGAGAGACAGGGACAGAAGCCUCAGGGGCUCAGGAGGCAGGAGAAGCACCAUGGUCUCCAGCAGGGCAAGACACAGCCCUUGCACUCCCCAGGCCGUUCUGCUCUCCGUGCCUGGGGGGGGGGGGGGUCUAUGGUGGGCCUGGGGGUGAGGGUAGGAGUCAGGAGGUGAACCCCACCUGGGCCAUUUGCGUGGCAGGGGCCCAGUAGAGGUCACUGCAGCUAUAAAUGGUCCCAUGCCAUUCCAGCAGAAUGCCCUGUGGACAAGAAUAGUGAGCGCAGCAGCCGUGAGGCCAUGGAACGGAGUGACUGCUCUGCAGAGAGCAGAGGGCUUCCAGGCAGUAGCGGCUGUGGUGGGAUCACUCACACACGCGCCCCUCCCCUGCUGGCCUGGAGGGAGCGCGCCCAGCCCCACUUCUCUGCAAAAGGCAUGUCAGAGGCACUGACCAGAGGUGGUUCUUCAGAUUGUUUUCUCAGGGGAAGGGGAUGCUUUCUGCCCC